UUAAGAUUCAAUUUAUUACAAUAUUAGGACUGCUGCAUUUGCACCCAUGAUAUUUAAAAAAUCUGUCAGACAAACCAUGUAGAAAUAAGUAUGCAAAAACUGCAAAGAAAAACAUUUAAGGAGCCAAAAUUAAAAAGACCUUAGUGUGAAUUCACACAGUCUUACUUGGUUUCUACUAGGCUAUUGCAGCCAAGUAGUCCUUAACCUCAGUUGGAGUUAGCCUCCUAAAACCAGCUUCAUUACAUAUGCCAACUUCAAUGUUGUCUUCUGUCAUUUGCCCUUCAAAGCUCUCCUUUAAUGUUAAGAUGGCUGUAUGAAUGGCAUCUUCAAGCUCCAAAUCUUCAUUGUAUCUUUUCUCAAGGAAUGUUUUCCCAUUGACAUAAUUUUUUCCCAUCGCUGUUGCUUUCCAAGCAAAAUAAGCUCCAGAUGGAUCUGACUGAAAUAAAUAGGGCCGCCCCUCAUUCCAGCCACAUAUUAGCAGUGACACACCAAACGGACGAACGCCUCCAGACUGUGUAUAUUCCUGCAUCACAGAAGCAAUCCUUUGUACUAGUUGAGCUGUUGGAAUGGGCUCAUGAUAAACCAAGAAAUAUUGCUGGGCCAGCUUCCGUGCUCUGUGUACAAGUACUCUGUAAUCUGGACCCAUACCACUAUACACUAAACCUAUAUGUUUAGUAAUUGGUUCUACUUUAUGGACACUCCUUUCGUCAUAAAGAAUGGAUUUCUGCUUCUUUUCCGUUGCUAACACCACUCCAUUUGCAGCUUUAAUCCCAACCGAUGGAGCUCCUGCAGCCACUGCAGCCAAAGCAUACUCAAUCUGAACAAGUUUCCCAGAAGGACUGAAGGUAGUGAGGGAGAAACUGUAACCUCGCUCCGCCAUCUUGGAACCAGCCCCCAGGCUAUCCUCGCCAGCUCUCUCUGCGCAGGUGCGAUCUGCCCGAUCGCCCC
rnacentral:lncRNA from 1 species